CCUACGGGAGGCAGCAGUGGGGAAUAUUGCACAAUGGGGGAAACCCUGAUGCAGCGACGCCGCGUGAGUGAAGAAGUAAUUCGUCAUGUAAAGCUCUAUCAGCAGGGAAGAAAAUGACGGUACCUGAGUAAGAAGCCCCGGCGAACUACGGGCCAGCAGGCGCGGUAAUACGUAGGGGGCCAGCGUUUUUCGGAUUUACUGGGGGUAAAGGGGGCGUAGAGGGGAGUGCAAGUCUGGAGUUAAAGGUGGGGGCCCAAACCCCGGACUGCCCUGGAAACUGUACGGCUUGAGUGCAGGAGAGGUAAGUGGAAUUCCUGGUGUAGCGGUGAAAUGCGUAGAUAUUAGGCGGAACACCAGUGGCGAAGGCGGCUUACUGGACUGUAACUGACGUUGAAGCUCGAAAGCGUGGGGAGCAAACAGGAUUAGAUACCCUUGUAGUC
rnacentral:rRNA from 1 species